UACGUAGGGUGCAAGCGUUGUCCGGAAUUAUUGGGCGUAAAGCACGUGUAGGCGGCUUGGCAAGUCCGCUGUGAAAACUCGAGGCUCAACCUCGAGAUGUCGGUGGAAACUGCCUGGCUAGAGUCCGGAAGAGGAGUGUGGAAUUCCUGGUGUAGCGGUGAAAUGCGCAGAUAUCAGGAAGAACACCUAUGGCGAAGGCAGCACUCUGGGACGGUACUGACGCUGAGACGCGAAAGCGUGGGGAGCGAACAGG
rnacentral:rRNA from 1 species